GCAGAAAGGUAAUCGAGCUCCAAGAUGUAUUUUUCGGGGCAAGAUCUUUUUUACACCAAUUGUUCAUGAGCAUUGUAGAUCUCUCAUUGCCUAGUGUUCUAAGUGGAGCAUUUUGUCAUUCAUUUUAUUUUUCGUUGUUGCCUAUAUUUCUGACAAUUGUGAGAGGUCACUGACGAAUGAACCUUGUCCACUAGGGUGACAAAAUUUAUAACCUUUAAAUAUUAUACUUCCAUGUUGUGUCUGUUGAGCUGUUUUUGUCAAAUUUUAUUUUGGUACACACAUUUUGAUAAAUACCAUGUUCUUUGGACAAUUUUUUUUUGUACACGGUAUAAGGCAGAGCCACGAACAUACAUUCCAAUGUCCUUAUCAUUUGUAUGCUGAAAAAAUUCAUGCCUAAAAUUGCAUUUCUCUCCUCUCAGGCUUGUAUUGAAGGAAAGUAUUUGGUGUCCGCCAAGCCCAAGUUUUAACAUGUCAUUGCAUCAAAGUGGUGAUUUUUUUUUUAUACUCAAAAUGGUACGUGUCUUGGGAGAACAAUAUUUAGAUUUAUGAAUAUUGAUGUAUGCAAAAGUGCAAAAUAAAGUUUUAUAUAUACCAUUAUAUAUAUAUAAAAUAGAUUUUUGCGCAUUUAUAUUAACAUGCAGUUGAAAGUGCUACAAGUAUAAAAUGAUUAUUUAUGAUGUUAUUUUUAUGACAAUUCAAACAAAUGCAAUGAUAGGCUUCACUUUGUUAAUUACCCAUUUAUUGACUCUGUGGAGAGCUGAGCCUGUUUUAUGAUCAUAGUUUAUCUUAUAUAUAGCAUAUUCUUUACCAUAAUGUUUUCUUUCGUAUUAAAAAAAAAUUAUAUCAUUCUUCAUGUAUAGCGAAUCUUUAUAGAAUAACAUAUGAAGAUCUCAAGAAGCAAAGUAAAUGAAGUGUAACAGUGGUUUUAUAUAUGUAUCUGGUGAGACUGACAUUGAAUUCACUGAUUAUUAAGAAUGGCCCCAAAAGGAAAGGUCAUUUACAUUUGUAGAUAAAAUAUAUGAAAAAAAGCAAUAAAAAUUGUAUAAAAU
rnacentral:sRNA from 1 species